AUGCAUGGGGCCAGUUUCCUCCCAGGACCCUUGUCUUGGAGGGUGGCUCUAAUCCCAGAGAUGGGAGGUGGGAAGAGGAGGAGAGAAGCAUUCCCCCAGAGGACCUUCAUAGUUGUCAAGUGCAAAGGGAGCCACGUGAGUCAACCUCUGGGCAAGGUGCCUUACCCCACCCAUACUGCCACAUGCUCCCAAAGAUCCAGUUGUGCUAGCCACAUGGCUUUUGG
rnacentral:lncRNA from 12 species